rnacentral:rRNA from 1 species
AUUGAACGCUGGCGGCAUGCUUUACACAUGCAAGUCGAACGGUAACAGGCCUUCGGGUGCUGACGAGUGGCGAACGGGUGAGUAAUGCAUCGGAACGUGCCCAAUCGUGGGGGAUAACGUAGCGAAAGUUACGCUAAUACCGCAUAAGCCCUGAGGGGGAAAGUGGGGGACCGCAAGGCCUCACGCGAAUGGAGCGGCCGAUGUCAGAUUAGCUAGUUGGUGGGGUAAAGGCUCACCAAGGCGACGAUCUGUAGCGGGUCUGAGAGGAUGAUCCGCCACACUGGGACUGAGACACGGCCCAGACUCCUACGGGAGGCAGCAGUGGGGAAUUUUGGACAAUGGGCGCAAGCCUGAUCCAGCCAUGCCGCGUGCGGGGACGAAAGGCCUUCGGGUUGUAAACCGGCUUUCUAGCUGGAAAGAAAUACGCUGUUUUUAAUACGGUACAGUGGAUGACGUACCGGAAGAAGAAGCACGGCUAACUACGUGCCAGCA